rnacentral:rRNA from 1 species
AGUGAACGCUGGCGGUAGGCCUAACACAUGCAAGUCGAACGGCAGCACAGGAUAGCUUGCUCUCUAGGUGGCGAGUGGCGGACGGGUGAGGAAUACAUCGGAAUCUGCCCAGUCGUGGGGGAUAACGUAGGGAGACUUACGCUAAUACCGCAUACGACCUUCGGGUGAAAGAGGGGGAUCGCAAGACCUCUCGCGAUUGGAUGAGCCGAUGUCGGAUUAGCUAGUUAGCGGGGUAAUGGCCCACCAAGGCGACGAUCCGUAGCUGGUCUGAGAGGAUGAUCAGCCACACUGGAACUGAGACACGGUCCAGACUCCUACGGGAGGCAGCAGUGGGGAAUAUUGGACAAUGGGCGCAAGCAUGAACCAGCCAUACCGCGUGGGCGAAGAAGGCCUUCGGGUUGUAAAGCCCUUUUGUUGGGAAAGAAAUCUUUCAGGCUAAUACCCUGGGAGGAUGACGGUACCCAAAGAAUAAGCACCGGCUAACUUCGUG